UACGUAGGUGACAAGCGUUGUCCGGAUUUACUGGGCGUAAAGAGCGCGCAGGCGGUCGAUCAAGUCGAGUGUGAAAGCCCCCGGCUCAACUGGGGAGGGUCAUUCGAUACUGAUCGACUCGAAGGCAGGAGAGGGUAGUGGAAUUCCGGUGUAGUGGUGAAAUGCGUAGAUAUCGGGAGGAACACCAGUGGCGAAGGCGACUACCUGGCCUGUUCUUGACGCUGAGGCGCGAAAGCGUGGGGAGCGAACAGGA
rnacentral:rRNA from 1 species